rnacentral:rRNA from 1 species
UACGUAGGGUGCGAGCGUUGUCCGGAUUUAUUGGGCGUAAAGAGCUCGUAGGCGGCUUGUCGCGUCGGAUGUGAAAGCCCGGGGCCUAACUCCGGGUCUGCAUUCGAUACGGGCAGGCUAGAGUGUGGUAGGGGAGAUCGGAAUUCCUGGUGUAGCGGUGAAAUGCGCAGAUAUCAGGAGGAACACCGGUGGCGAAGGCGGGUCUCUGGGCAGUAACUGACGCUGAGGAGCGAAAGCGUGGGGAGCGAACAGG